rnacentral:rRNA from 1 species
AACGCACCUUGCGCUCCUUGGCAUUCCGAGGAGCAUGCCUGUUUGAGUGUCAUGAAUUCAUCAACCCCGAAGGGAUUUUUGUCCUUCUCGGUGGCUUGGACUUGGGGGAUCCUUUGCUGGCCUUCACCGGUCGGCUCCCCUUGAAUGCAUUAGCUUGGACUUGUCCCGGCGACGUCAUAGCGUGAUAACUAUCUACGCCUCAUGACCGAUGCUCUUGUUCUGCUUCUAACCGUCCAUUGACUUGGACAGCUCUUUUGACAAUUUGACCUCAAAUCAGGUAGGACUACCCGCUGAACUUAA